GUCACUGCUAUCGGGGUUCGAUUAAGCCAUGCGAGUCGAGGAGGGUUCGGCCCUCGGCGUACUGCUCAGUAACACGUGGAUAACCUGCCCUAGGGAAGGGGAUAACCCCGGGAAACUGGGGAUAAUACCCUAUAGAUUACAGAUGCUGGAAUGCCCUGUAAUCCAAAGUUCCGACGCCCUAGGAUGGAUCUGCGGCCGAUUAGGUUGUUGUUGGGGUAAUGGCCCAACAAGCCCGUAAUCGGUACGGGUUGUGGGAGCAAGAGCCCGGAGUUGGAUUCUGAGACACGAAUCCAGGCCCUACGGGGCGCAGCAGGCGCGAAAACUUUACAAUGCGGGCAACCGUGAUAAGGGAACCUCGAGUGCCUGUAAAUGCAGGCUGUUCAGGUGCCUAAAACACACCUGAAGAAAGGGCCGGGCAAGACCGGUGCCAGCCGCCGCGGUAAUACCGGCGGCUCGAGUGGUGGCCGCUUUUAUUGGGCUUAAAGCGUUCGUAGCUGGGUUGUUAAGUCUCUUGGGAAAUCUGGCGGCUUAACCGUCAGGCGUCUAAGGGAUACUGGCAAUCUUGGAACCGGGAGAGGUGAGGGGUACUUCGGGGGUAGGAGUGAAAUCCUGUAAUCCUCGAGGGACCACCUGUGGCGAAGGCGCCUCACCAGAACGGCUUCGACAGUGAGGGACGAAAGCUGGGGGAGCAAACCGGAUUAGAUACSCGGGUAGUCCCAGCCGUAAACUAUGCGCGUUAGGUGUAUCGGUGACCACGAGUUACCGAGGUGCCGAAGGGAAACCGUGAAACGUGCCGCCUGGGAAGUACGGUCGCAAGGCUGAAACUUAAAGGAAUUGGCGGGGGAGCACCACAACAGGUGGAGCCUGCGGUUUAAUUGGACUCAACGCCCGGGAAAGCUCACCGGGAUAAGACAGCAGAAUGAUUGCCGGGCUGAAGACUCUGCAUGACUAGCUGAGAGGAGGUGCAUGGCCGUCGUCAGUUCGUACUGUGAAGCAUCCUGUUAAGUCAGG
rnacentral:rRNA from 1 species